AUUGUUCAAAUGCAAGUUUAUUUCACCGCUGUGUAACAGGUAACCCCAACCGGCCACGGAAGGCAGAGGACGUUAAGACUGCCGUGGUGGCUUCAAGCAUUCUAGAUCUUGAGGCAUUCAAUGGAGAACCAUUAGUUAUGGACCAGCCUGAGUUCGACAAUAACAAACCUACUCCAGUAAUAGAAGAUUUCAAGGAUGUGGUGUGUUCCAAGAAGACGAGAAGAAAGUUCUGCAAGAAGUGUAAAUUGGCCAGAGGACGUCACGUGUGCAAACGCUGCCGACGCAGUGGGCGGGAAAACGGUCGGUCUUGUCGGCAAUGCAGGCAUUGUCAGAAGUGCAAACAUUGCAGAAAACUCAUGUAAUGAUGUCUGAUAUUUCCUACAUAUAUAUUUUCUAUCAUACGUAUACCUGGGCCGGAAUACUAUUUAAUAUGAGUGUUCCGGAACGGUCUAUAUAUAUAUGCUACACUGUCGUAUUGCAGAAUAAUUCGAACGCGCUCCGUGUGCACCGAUGUCGAAAACUCGAAAACCGGAUUAGAAUCUUCGAAUCGAGACAACCAAAUUUUCUCAACUUCUGACACAUCUCAUGUUGAAACGGUAUUUUUUCCGUGGUGGGUAUAUGGCAUUUAUGAAAUACAACACGGUGUAUUUCGCAUCACCAUUGUAGCAGCCCGUAGCUCUCACUGAGUCUGGCCUAUAUUCCUACCUGCGUUCAGGCUAGUACCUCGGGUGAUACGGAAUACACCAUGUUGUAUUUUAUGUGUCUUAAGUGCGUGUAGACACGUGGUUGUCAGGCAGUGUUUUCAAACCGUAGUCGUGUGUGUGUGGUGCCCUUAAGGCUAAUGCCACAUUUCCGAACCGGGGCCCGGCCGGACUGUUUGUGGAAACAAAAACAAAAAAUAGAAAUGUAUACGAUAGAAUAUACAAAGAUAAGGCCCACGACUAUUCUCUUUAGUAAUACGCCUUGUGUAGUUUGGUGCAUUUUGUAUCAUACUUUACGUUCCCAAAAGCUGCCCUACCGGGCCCCGGUUUGGAAAUGUGACUUAUACCUACCUACCUAUAGGCCUAAACAACAAACGGAAACUGCUCCCUAUGGUUGAUUCUUUUAUGCCAUAGAGAAGACCACGGAUUAGCUCAAAGAAUAUGCUACAUGUCAUACAUUUGGCGACGGUGAUAAGCAGCAAAUGUUGCUUCAUGACGGAAAAUUAAUUACAUCUUUAUGGUGUACGUGGCCGAUAGUCUCAUGUCCGUUUCGCUAGUCGGGUGAGGAUAAGCGUCAUAAUGGUAAUGUUUUACCAUAUUUUAGUGAAAACGCUGCCUGAACCCCUUGUCACAAGGCAAUGUUGAUGCGACCGUACGGAUGACAAUCUGGACAUGUAUAAAACCUAGCAUCGAAGUUUUUAUUAUACUAACCUCAUAUUUCAUACCACAGAAGUAUUCAAGCAAAAUGUAAGAAAUGGUCCGGAGCAUUUAAUAAAAAAUUGUAGUCCGUAUAUAGAGAGGGGGAUUAUACAGGGAAGAUGACGAUAAAUACAGCUAAGAUGACGAUAGGGUAAAGAAAUAUCAACCCCUUAUACAAGGAAAAAAUGGACAAUCUGCAAGCUACACGUAAAGGGUGUGGACAUGGCCAAUGUAACUAGGAACAUGGAAUACAUAUUGAUACGCGAGGGAAUAGAUCUUACUACCAGAAUGACGUCAAAAUUAUCUUAGAGUAGGACAUGCGAGAAAACAUAGGAACUAUGAAAUAUAUUCAAGCAAUGACAGAUCUAAUAUCUAUAUAUUUCAGGAUUCUAUUAUUUUACUAGAUUUGUUUUGUAUGUGUACUUAAUAUAUAGAUAUAUGUAUAGAAUACGACAAGUGCAUGGAUGGAAUUAUAGCUGUGUAUAUUGUUGCAAGAAAGGGGGAAACAGAUACAUGAAAAAUGUUUUCCUUAUUAUUAAAUUCUGGAAACC